GAGACACUGAAUAAUAAUUCUAAUUUCAAGAAUGAUUUUUUAUAAGUCCAUAAGAGUUAAAAAAAUAUUUAUUUAAUGAAAGGAGAGGAUGAGAUUAAUAAAUUAUAAAGUGGCAAAAUCAUUUGUUACAUGCAAAGGAAAAAGUAUGGCUGAAAUUGUCAAAUUUAUUUAUGUUAUGAUUUUCUUUCUUUUCAUAUUUCUUCUUUCCAUGAACGUAGAUGGUAAGUUGUUUUAUAUUCUUUUCAUAUUUCUUCUUUACUUCGAACAAAAUAUUUCAUUUUAUUUUAGUUACAUUUUUUCUUCUCAUUAUAGCAGGUGAUAGACGUACACAAGAUUUUGUUUUUGCACUAAAAUGUACAACUGAGAUUCAAUGUCAAUUCAUGCAUUGUCGCUUUCCUUUCCCUAUGGCGAAGUGUCUCAUUUCAAAAUGUAGAUGUUGUAAACGUAUUGCGAAUGAUUAUGUGUGUACAGACUAGAAUAUUAUGUGAGCUACCAUAUAGUUAUUAUGUUGGCACCCAAUAAUUUAAGUUUUUUUUUUCUUUUCUAUUUUCAAGAACCUUAUAUAAAACCAAUAAAGUAGAUUCUAGGAACGAACUGGAAAAAUUAAGUCUCAAGAGUAGAGAUUCUAAUGACCUAGAAUAGAAUCCGGUACCAAAGAGAAAUUAUGCAAAACAUAAUAUUGAAUGAGAAAGUUUUUUUAGA
rnacentral:lncRNA from 1 species